rnacentral:lncRNA from 1 species
CAUGAAUUUACCUUUAAAGAGAAUUUAUCCACAUAUCUUGCUAUAGUAAUGAUAAAAAUACUAAGUGGAGUUUUUAAUGAAAUUGUCCAUCAACAGCGAUUUAUAACAGCAAAGGAAUAAAUCUGCAAUAUUAGCAGUAAGUCCCUAUCGGAAUACUCAAUACUAAGCAGAAUGCUUUUUCACGAAAACAAAUAAAAACAUCAUAAGGC